rnacentral:rRNA from 1 species
CGGACGGGUGAGUAAUGCUGGGAAACUGCCCGAUGGAGGGGGAUAACUACUGGAAACGGUAGCUAAUACCGCAUAACGUCGCAAGACCAAAGAGGGGGACCUUCGGGCCUCUUGCCAUCGGAUGUGCCCAGAUGGGAUUAGCUAGUAGGUGGGGUAACGGCUCACCUAGGCGACGAUCCCUAGCUGGUCUGAGAGGAUGACCAGCCACACUGGAACUGAGACACGGUCCAG